rnacentral:SRP_RNA from 1 species
CCCAGAUACAGAGGGUGAAGGCUCUCUUCCUGGCUUGCAAAUGGCUGGGAUGGGGGGAAUCGCUUGAGGCCAGUUCUGGGCUGUAGAGCACUAUCCUUAUUGGGUGUCUGCAUCAGUAUGGUGACCUCCUGGGAGCAGGGAACCACCAAGUUGCCCAAAGAGGGGCUAAGUGGACCAGAUCAGAAACAGAGCAGGUCAGAGCUCCCAUGCUGAUCAGUAGUGUGAUCGUGCCUAUGAAUAGACACUGCACUCCAGACUGGGCAACAUAGCAAGACCCCAU